AUUUUUUUCUAAAUUUCAUUAGAUUUUGAGAACGAUACGUGUUAUCCAUAGUUGACAGGUGGGCGCGAUGUAACGGUUUGUCAAGAGGCUUAAGAACCCGCCUCAGCUCCAGCUCUCAGCCUGUCGUUAAGAUGACUGAAAGUUAAGUUGAGACAGGAUUUCCAGCAUGGAGACCGCCAUUGAUGGGACUCCAAAGCCCCCUGCAGGAACAGAUGGCUGACGUCACUCAGGCUUCGUCUAUACAUAUUUACAGAUUAUGUUUCAAACCACAAACUGGGAAAAAAACAUGGACGUAGUAUAAGUGAUGUCAUCAAUUGGACGAGGUGUUUUGAAACUUAAAGAUGGCGGUCACAAUAUUGAAAA